UAAUGGAUCCCGGGGGGUCCUAUCCGCCGGCGCUGAAGGGGACGGCGGCCUGAAGAACGACGAGUCUCAGAGGAGGACGAGCGGCGGGUGUAGCUGGUGCUCAACCGGGAGAGCGCGCACCUGUCGCUGCAGAGGAAGAAGCAGCGCUCGCCGCCACCCUUCACCACGUCCGCCGCCUCCCCCUGGUGCCGCGAGGCGCCUCACCGGCCGGAUCCACUCGAUCUGGGCACGCCACUACCACAUCCCUCGAGGUAACUCAAGUACUCGACUGUGUGUAAACUGCCUGCACGACUCCACCACGCCCCAGUCUCACGGCGUCAGCUGCGUGAACGCGACCACCGUCGAUCCAUCCAGUUGUGGACGCGCCAGCCUUAACGCCAUCUCCUUCCACAUGCUGGCGUACUACUCGUGUGGACGCUCGCCACGAUCUGGAUGUCGCGCAGCCUCAGCAGCCUGACGCCACCCAUGAAUCAGGCCUAAUUACUUGGCCGUGAAAGGCUACAACGAUCAUGGAAUUAGUGGAUUCUCCUUGAUGAUGCGCUAUGACACAACAAUGUUACACAGUGAAUUGGUACUUUUCGUAGCAACUGGGUGGUGGAUCGAUUGAACUGAUUUGAGAGGAUUGUGCUUUGAUUUUCCGACUUCUUGCAGCUUGACUACGAGGUAGAGAUGGAUCUGCCUCUGUUGUGGGAGACAGACAAUGCCUUUUGGUGCUAUUUCCUAAAUAAGAUAUACACAUGUCUUCACUCUGCCAUUGCUGUUGCGCCCAUAACGCAAGCUCCGGUGCCGCGGCGAUGUUGGUCCGCGAAGAGGAUGCAAACACUAUAGCUCUGAACUCCAUGGCAGACAUUGCUCUCAUUCUGUUGCUAUUGUUGUGGAGCGCCGAGGACGCAUGUCCCAUGGCCGCCGGUUCUUCCAGUCAGGGGAUGCGAAAUCUGCCAGCGUCGUUUCUCUCUGUGCGCCGGUAAUGUUUGCAGCAAUAAAACUGCAACCUUCAUUGCAGGACAAGUUCUACCUGAAUCUCAUGGUUUGUCUUCACAUAAUGUUCUCUUAGUCGGUUUGCAGCAUGCAGCAAGUUCUAAUUGCUGCUUUUAGAGAAGCCCCAGUUGUAGGUCAUAAAUUGCUUGGAAAAAUGCAACAUCGAUGCUAGAAUCCUGACGAGACUAUGACCGGUGAUGCAGAUUAUUUUGUAUGCUGAUGGUGCCGUGGCGGCUGCAUGCCGGAGGGCUGCAUACUCGACUUCUACAUCGCCAUCUUCAACAAGGAGAAGAUCUCCCUCGCUGGCCACAACGAGGUCCGCGCCUGCACUCCCAUUCCCAUUCUUUCUCCCUCUCCAGGAAUUGGGGUUUCUAUUGCUUUUUUUUGUUUGGUGUGUGCCACUGGAGUAUAUGUGUUGUUUGUGCCACCCUUGUGGUGUUUGGGCUUGUUGUGCUGUGCCCACAGCAGACUCUGUGGUGUAUGUGUUGUUCGUGAGUUUGUGUUGGACCUUGUUGCGGUGGCGUUGUGUGUGUGUGUGUGUGUUGGAUGAACCUUGUAUAUGGUGGCGGGCGGGCGGAACUUCUUGCCACUACUCCUGGAGACGUCAAAGGGCGUCAAGCCCUCUGCAGUGAUCGGAUGGGACUACCAGGUUUACACGAAGAGGGAGAAUGCCGGCAGCUGGAAUUCUGGGCUGCAAAA